CCAAUCGAACUCGGAGAUAGCUGGUUCUCCCCGAAAUAGCUUUAGGGCUAGCCUCGUUUUAGAUUACCGGGGGUAGAGCACUGAAUGGGCUAGGGGGCCACAAAGCUUACCGAACCCUAUCAAACUUCGAAUACCGGAUAAUUGAUGAACGGGAGUCAGACGGCGGGAGAUAAGUUUCGUCGUCAAAAGGGAAACAGCCCAGAUCUACGACUAAGGUCCCGAAAUCACAGUUAAGUGGAAAAGGAUGUGCAGUUGCACAGACAACCAGGAUGUUGGCUUAGAAGCAGCCACUCAUUUAAAGAGUGCGUAAUAGCUCACUGGUCGAGUGAUUGUGCGCCGAAAAUGUACCGGGGCUAAACUGUGUACCGAAGUCUAGGGAUCGUGAUAAACGAUCGGUAGGGGAGCAACGUGUGCGGGCUGAAGCCGAAGCGGAAGCGACGGUGGACUGCACGGGAGAGAGAAUGCCGGCAUGAGUAGCGAGAGCAAAGUGAGAAUCUUUGCCGUCGAAAGCCUAAGGUUUCCUGAGGAAGGCUCGUCCUCUCAGGGUAAGUCAGGACCUAAGCCGAGGACAAAAGUCGUAGGCGAUGGACAACUGGUUGAUAUUCCAGUACCACCUUUAGCGUUUGACUGAAGCAGUGACACAGAAGGAUAGACAGAGCGCGUGACUGGUAGAGCGCGUCCAAGCGAUGAGGGAGUUAAGUAGUGAAGAACGCUUAACAAUCCUGGGUCGUGAUGGGGACUGAAAAUAAGUAGGGAAGCUGUUGAAUUCACGCUGGCGAGAAAAGCUGCUAAGGAGCGAAAGGGUGCCUGUACCGCAAACCGACACAGGUAGGCGAGGAGAGAAUCCUAAGACGAGCGGGAGAACCCAUGUUAAGGAACUCGGCAAAAUGACCCUGUAACUUCGGGAUAAAGGGAGCCACGAGAGUGGCCGCAGAGAAUAGGCCCAAGCGACUGUUUACCAAAAACACAGGUCUGUGCGAAGUAGAGAUACGACGUAUACGGGCUGACGCCUGCCCAGUGCCGGAAGGUUAAGGGGAAGUGUUAGGGCAACCGAAGCACGGAACUUAAGCCCCGGUGAACGGCGGCCGUAACUAUAACGGUCCUAAGGUAGCGAAAUUCCUUGUCGGGUAAG
rnacentral:rRNA from 1 species